ACAACAACAUUCGGACCGUCGGUCUACCGAGCAAUAUCACCCGCUCGGUGGAAGAUCUUCCCUCCGUCGUUAUA
rnacentral:pre_miRNA from 1 species